CAGUAUAAUAAGGUAGGUGGGGUUUGGACUAGCCAGUGUAAUAAGGUAGGUGGGGUUUGGACUGGCCAGUAUAAUAAGGUAGGUGGGGUUUGGACUAGCCAGUAUAAUAAGGUAGGUGGGGUUUGGACUAGCCAGUAUAAUAAGGUAGGUGGGGUUUGGACUGGCCAGUAUAAUAAGGUAAGUGGGGUUUGGACUAGCCAGUAUAAUAAGGUAGGUGGGGUUUGGAC